UCACACCACAAAAUAGCAGCGAAUGCCCCCCUUAACCUUUGCCGCUCCUUCGCUGCCGAAGCAGCAGGGUUUUGCAGAAGUGGAAUGCUCGUCGGCUUUUGAUGAGUUUCUAGGGUUUCACUAACCAGCUAGCUGCAUACGAUCUUCUCAGUAGCUAUGGGGCGAUCACGAGUUCAAGUGAACAAACCUCACAAGUCCCGUUUCUUCUCCAAAUCAUCUAGUAACCUUCACAAAACAUCUCUGAAAGAUAAGAGUCGGAUUAGCAAAAUUGGAGCAGAGUGUCGCAAAGGGAGCUCGAGCUGUCCCAAUGCAGCGUAGCAAGAUGUUGCGGAAGCAGAAAUGGGCUGCCCCCUUGAAAGUGAAAAGGGCUUCUAUGGGAAUGGGUAUCUUACAUAACAAUAGUGCACUUGCAGUGCCUUCUAUGAAGAAGUUUAUUUUGGAUUUAUUAUUAUUAUUUGAAUCAGUGAUAAGUUCUCUCUGGCCUCUCUGUCUCCGUAAACCUAGAUUCGCUUGCUGAAGAUCUUCUGAAAUUAUUAUCUCCCGAAGGUGGUGGAGCUGGGUCUUCACAGUUGCAUCAUCUGAUUACAGACUAGAGCAACUGUAGGUUCCAAUUCUGCGAUUUACUUGCUUUGAACUACUAAGACUUCUGUCUAGUAGAAUGUAGACAGUUUAAUUGUCUUCGUGAUUGGAAAUUGUUUUCUGAGGCAGUUUCUGGGCAUGAACUUCCUUUGGUUUUGCCCUGUUAUGUCCUGAAAUAAACAGUAAAUAUAUUGUAAAUUCUGAUUUCUGAUUCAAAGAUUAAGCUUUAUCAUCUGAAUAUGACUGUUGACUAGAAUUUUUUAUCCUAUUGUGAAAAUUUGUGAAUAUUAUGAUUUGAUUCAUUUAGGUAUUGAAAGAACCACGAGGGGAUCUGUUAUCUUGUAUUGAAAUGGCCAAGGUACGGAAGUUUAUGGAAACUGGUGUUUGUUUAUAGGUAGUCAAGUGUACCAUAAUGCUUUUGCUUUUUGUGAACUUUUGAACACUGUUUGGAUUAGGUUGCUGGUCUGAUUGCUUAUGAUUUUGUGACCUUUUGAACACUGUCUGGAUUAGGUUGCUGAUCUGGUUGCUUUUGAGGCAUCAGCUAGUGAAAAAAGUGCUUUUGACUAUGUUGAUUCAUUUGGAAUUCAAUGCUUUCAGUGUUUACUUCUCUUGGUUUGUCAGCACUGUUGUCUUAAUUCGUUUAAGAUCUUGAUCAUUGUAAUUUUCUUUGCAUCCUGGUGAAAAUUUGAGAAAUAACAGUUGGGUAAGGUUUUACUAGCGGUGCCUGAGGUUAAAAAUUAUGUGUCAUUCUGUUUUUAGGAUCUACCGAGUGAGCUGAAAAGAAUAAACGAAUCAAAGAACGCGUGCACUUCCAGGCUUGCUAGUGAAUUUCCUAAGGAUUGCAAGUUCUACCCAGCAGAUACAAAAGAUGAGUUGCACAAGGUUGUGACUGUGAGGCCACUUUAUUUCUUGCAGCAUAGUAUGCCAUCGGUGUGCUAGUGUUUUGAAAUUUUCUUACGUAGAAAUUGUUGUCUUGUUAGAUAGGAGAAAUUAUAUGAUAAAAUGGUAUACCAACUAGAAUUUUCUAAUUGGUAUCACAAUCCACUUAUGGCCAAGUGUAUUAAAAAAAAAUAAAAGAAUGAGUUGUGUUUUAUUUUAUUUUUUCUCUUUCCUAUUCAUUUAUUAUAUAUAAUUGUUGUACUUUAAAAUCUCUCGGUAGAUUGGGGGAUUAUAACUUCUUCCUGGGACACUGUUGAAAUAUUUUUGGAUUGACGAGUGUUGAUCGAGCAGUGUUCGCUUGACCUAGACGAGCGCCAUGUCAAUCUUAGGGAUGGCAACGGGUAGGGUACCCGCGAAAUUGAGAGUACCCAAAUCCGAACCCGAUUGUAUGUAAAAUUUCCGAAUCCGUCCCAAACCCGUUUAGUAUUUUAAUUUUAAUACCCGUACCCGUCUCAAAUCCGUUUAACAAUAUCCGCACACUACUCGAACCCGACCGAACCCGAUUUUUUUACUUCAAUUCAAGCAAAUAGAAUCACAAAAUUCACUCAAAACUGAAGCCUGUUCCCACAGAAGCAUAAGAAAUUAAGAACACCCAAGGUCAUAUGCAUAGAAGAACAAAAAGAUUUUUCCAGAAGCCAAGGAAAACCAGAUCAUGGAAGCCACUAAGGUUCAUUUGGGUAAUGUUAAUUGAUAUGCUAGGAAAUUACUACUCCAGGUUCAGAUAUUAAGAUUUAAGACCAAGCCAGUAACACUCGUGAAGGAAAAAUCAACAAGAAGCAAUGAAUGAACUACUCAUAGAAAUUGCACAGAUCAAUACCUAAGCCUGUGAUGUCAAACAAUUAGCCUCCCAGUCAAUUUUCGUUACACUAGGCUGAAGAAAAGGAAAAGAGAGAGAGGAGGCGAGAGGAUAAACAGCAAAAAAUCAAACAGAAACAUAACAAAAUAGCUUCUCAAAGCAUAGAUGCCAGACUCAAAUAAUGGCAAUAUAACAAAAAAACACCAUAUACGGGUUUUUUAAAAGCUAACUCUCUAGUCUCUAUCCAAAUGAAAAAAGCAAUUUGCACCAACCCAGAGAUAGAGCAAAAUCUCAUACAAGGAAACUACAAGAACAAGAUUAAAAAUGCUAAUAUCGUGCCAAUUCAAUAAUACACAAAGCGCACAAGUGAUAAAUAAAAAAAAUAAAAAGAAAAAAAAA